UACAGAGGUCUCAAGCGUUGUUCGGAUUCAUUGGGCGUAAAGGGUGCGUAGGCGGUGAGGUAAGUCUGGUGUGAAAUCCCGGGGCUCAACCCCGGAACUGCACUGGAUACUGCCUUACUUGAGCACUGGAGAGGGAACUGGAAUUUACGGUGUAGCAGUGAAAUGCGUAGAUAUCGUAAGGAAGACCAGUGGCGAAGGCGGAUCUCUGGACAGCUACUGACACUGAGGCACGAAGGCCAGGGGAGCAAACGGG
rnacentral:rRNA from 1 species